rnacentral:rRNA from 1 species
GACGUAGGGCGCGAGCGUUUGUCCGGAUUAUUGGGCGUAAAGAGCUCGUAGGCGGUUUGUCGCGUCUGCUGUGAAAACUGGAGGCUCAACCUCCAGCCUGCAGUGGGUACGGGCAGACUAGAGUGCGGUAGGGGAGAUUGGAAUUCCUGGUGUAGCGGUGAAAUGCGCAGAUAUCAGGAGGAACACCGAUGGCGAAGGCAGGUCUCUGGGCCGAUACUGGACGCUGAGGAGCGAAAGCGUGGGGAGCGAACAGG